GGCUGUAGCUCAGUGGUAGAUCGCUUGCCUAGCACGUAUGAGGCACUGGGUUCGAUUCUCAGCACCA
rnacentral:tRNA from 1 species